CCGCAAGUUAAAUUAACGCAGACAGUGGAUGCCUUGGUGCGACACACCUAAGAAGGACGUACAUGACGGCGAAACUCGUCGGGGAGGAGUCACGAUCCUGUGAUCCGGCGGUGUCCGAAUGGGGAAACCCACUCCCGCAUUUGCGGGGGGAGGCUGUGGUAAAAAUGUUCUGCGAAAGCAGAAUGUAUAGUCAUAGCAUUGGGAACCUUCCGAACUGAAACAUCUAAGUAGGGGGAGGAAAAGAAAUUAACAAAGAUUCCGUAAGUAGCGGCGAGCGAAAACGGAAAAGCCUAAACCUCGCAUGCCUUCGGGCUUUGCGGGGGGUUGUGGGACUCUAAUGUGGGAGUUUUCAAGAUAGCAGAACGGCAUGGAAUUGCCGACCAUAGAAAGUGAAAGUCUUGUAUGCAAAAUCAAGAAAGCCUCUAGGAGUAUCCCAAGUACUACGCAGUAAAUUCUUGUGUAGGAAUCCGGGGGAACCAUCCUCUAAGGCUAAAUAUGAGGUCGCAACCGAUAGUGAACUAGUACCGUGAGGGAAAGGCGAAAAGAAGGGCGGGACGCCCAGUGAAAUAGAACCUGAAACUGUUUGCGGACAAACCGAGAGAGUGGUGAAAAUCGCAAGGUUUUUACUAUGAUCUCGUGCCUAUUGAAGAAUGAUCCGGCGAGUCUCCGUAUAAGCGCAUGUUUAACCACUUAAAUGUGGGUAAGCAAAGCGAAAGCGAGUUUGAAUAGAGCGAUAAUUGCGCUCUGCGGAGGACCCGAAACCGAGCGAGCUAACCAUGACCAGGGGGAAUCCCGCCGAAAGGCGGGAAGACGCCCGAACCCGUCUGGGUUACAAUCCAGUGGGAUGAGUUGUGGUUAGAGGUUAUAUGCCUACCGAGCUCGGAGAUAGCUGGUUCUCCCCGAAAGGUCUAUAGGGACCGUCUCGUACAUUAUUUUCCAAGGGUAGAGCACUGAAUGGUCCCGCAAUCGUAAGAAAGCGGGAUCAAUCAAACUCCGAAUACUGGAAAAAUUUGGCGGGAGACAGUCAUAUCGGGCUAAGCUGAUAUGGCGAGAGGGAAACAUCCCAGAUUUUCGUCUAAGGCCUCUAAAUCUAUCUUAAGUUUCAAAGGAAGUUUUUUCUCUCAGACAGCCAGGAGGUUGGCUUAGAAGCAGCCACCCUUUAAAGAUAGCGUAACAGCUCACUGGUCUAUGAUAAAAAGCGCCGAAGAUUUAUCGAGGAUUAAAGAUAGUGCCGAAGACAAAGAUUCCCGACUUAGUCGGGAGUGGUAGGGGAGCGUUCCGCAAACAGUGAAGCCCCGCCGUAAGGCAGGGUGGAGUUUGCGGAAGUGAGAAUGCCGGAAUGAGUAGCGUACAACCCCGCUGAGAAUGCGGGGCGCCGAAUACCCAAGGUUUCCGUCCCGACGUUCGUCAAGGACGGGUUAGUCGGUACCUAAGGUGAGGCCCGCAAUUGUGGGCGUAGCCGAUGGAUGAGUAGUUAAAAUUCUACUAUUUGUUUUAAGUCGCUUGCCUGCGCAAGCAGGUUAUAGCUGGGGGUUGACUGAAUUGGAUGCCUGGAGCCCUUCGAUGAAUUCAGGGUGUAAACUGUAAAGUAGUUCUGACUAGUAAAUCUAUCAGAACGAUUAAUUAAGCAGUGAUACAGAGUCUGACCAAAAUCGGGCAAUUUCAAAGCAUUCAGUUUACAAGAAAAGACUCGCAGUGAGACUUUUGACAAGCCGUACCGCAAACCGACACAGGUGGGUUGGUCGAGUAGACUAAGGCGAGCGAGAGAAGGAUGUUCAAGGAACUCGGCAAAAAAACUACCCGUAACUUCGGGAGAUGGGUUACCUGCUGAACCGCAAGGUGAAGUGGGUUGCAACUAAAGUUUGUUAGUCGACUGUUUAUCAAAAACACAGGUCCCUGCAAAAGCGAAAGCUAAAGUAUAGGGGCUGAUGCCUGCCCAGUGCCGGUAAGUUAAGGGGCGGGGUGAUUGGGUCUUCGGACUCUUUUGCUCUAAACUCAAGCUCCGGUUAACGGCAGCAGUAACUAUAACUGUUCUACGGUAGCGAAGUUCCUUGUCGGGUAAGUUCCGACCUGCACGAAAGGCGUCACGAGCUAACAACUGUCUUGAACAUUCACUCGGCGAAAUUGCGAUGGCUGUGAAGACGCGGCCUACUUGUACCUGGACAAAAAGACCCCGUGGAGCUUUACUGUAGUUUGGCAUUGAUUUGCCUAUUUCGAUAGUCUAGCGUAGGAGGGAGCCUUCGGGCAAUCAUGUAACACCUCUCGUUGGAAUGGGUCAAAUCUUUACUCAAUCCCGCUGCAUACGCGGGAGGGGAAAGUGCUAGAUGGGCAGUUUUACUGGGGCGGUACCCUGCAAAAAGGUAACGCAGGGGUACAAAGGUUGGCUUACCACGGAUGGAAAUCGUGGGGAAAGCAUAAAGGUUUAAGCCAGCUUGAUAGUGAGAGCGACGGCUCGAACUAGGACGAAAGUCGGUCUUAGUGAUCCCCCGCUUCUUCAUGGGAAGGGCGGGGCUUAACGGAUAAAAGCUACCCCGGGGAUAACAGAGUAGUCGCGCCCGAGCGUCCAUAGCGACGGCGCGGUUCGCUACCUCGAUGUCGGCUCACCGCAUCCUGGAGGUGUAGAAGCUUCCAAGGGUUGGUCUGUUCGCCCAUUAAAGCGGUACGUGAGCUGGGUUCAGAACGUCGCGAGACAGUAGAAUUAAGAGUCCUGCGGUCUCACCCUUUAGACGUUCAAUUAAAAAGAACCAAUUUAAUAUUUUUACUUUUUGUCCAAAUUAAUAAAUGAAGGGAUAUAAAUCUGGCUAUAUGCUGGAAAGUCUUGUAAAAUGAUAAAGUACUAGUAUAUAAUCUAUUUACUAGUAAAAAUCUUUAUUCUGAGACAAUCAGCAGGAAAGACUAGAUAAUAUGUCUUUAUCAAAUGAUUAUUUUGUUGGUUUUGUUGAAGGAGAAGGUAUGUUCUAUAUAGGGAUAGUUCCUUCGAAAGAAACAAAAUCAGGCUGGCAAGUAAUUUAUUUCUUCAAAGUUUCUCAAAAUCCAUCAGGAAAAGAGGUUCUUGAAGAACUAAAGAAAAGAUUAUCUUGUGGUUAUAUUAAAGCAAAUAGUCAAACUGAUAAAACUGAUAAAUCACUAGCUUAUGUCGUUCGUGAUUUAUCAAGUUUAAGAGACAAAGUUAUUCCAUUUUUUGAUAAAAAACUAAUUAUCAAAAAAGAUGCUUUUGAAAAAUUCAAGAAAGUUAUAUUUCUUGUAGAUAAAAAGGAGCAUUUAAAUAAAAGUGGAAUCAGGAAGAUUAUUAAUAUUUCAUAUUCUAUGAAUACCCAAAAAAGGAGAUUCACCGAAGAACAAAUAUUAAAAUCUUAUUUGUAAUCUAGAAUCCUCACAGGCCAUACGCCAGAGUACGUUCGGUUUACAUGAACGUACAAGAUAUGGUCGGACCCCCAUGGUGACAUGGGGAAUCAACGGGAAAAUAAAACUGGUUGAUUCAUCUUAAUGAUGAUAACAAUAAUGUCGGACUCUAUCCGGUACAAGCGUUGAGUCUUGAGGAGAGCUCUCCCCAGUACGAGAGGACCGGGAGGGGAGAAUCCCUGGUGUGCCGGUUGUUACGUCAGUAGCAACGCCGGGUAGCUAUAUUCUUUUGCGAUAACCGCUGAAAGCAUCUAAGUGGGAAGCCAACUCCAAGAUUAGGACUCGUUAUAGAUCCCCUGUAGACCACAGGGUUAAUCGGCAAGCGGUGGAAGUGGUGUAAAUCAUUAAGCCUACUUGUGCGAAUAGAUCGAAUGACUUGCGGAC
rfam:Candidatus Woesebacteria bacterium RIFCSPHIGHO2_01_FTLL_39_28 rifcsphigho2_01_scaffold_8038, whole genome shotgun sequence.